CAACAGUCUCAAUGAGGUGUAUUUCACAUUGUAGCUGCCAGAGCUCCGCUGCUUUCUUCGACCCCCUCUGUCUCUGGUCCUGCUGUGCUCACUCAGUGUGCAGUGUGAGGAGGG